UAUGAGGCCCCGCAAAAAGCGCGUAGAGCCUUUUGGGCAAAUGGAUAGAAUCUGUGGAGGAAAACCUGAUCGAUCAACAAUGCUCAAGUAUGGAGCUAGAUAGCUUCCCAACGAUACAUUAGGCCCUCCCAAAAAAUGCAAAGAGGUCAAAGGCAACGUGGAAAGCUCCUUAGCGAUCAUGUUGACCCGGCAAGUGGACAUAUAGGGCCAGGCAACCAACAGCGUAAUGCCUCUAGCCAGGGUAAUGAGCCCCAAAAUUACCCCAAGCAACACGUUUUCAAUCAAUGUAGAAUCAAAGGCAUCGAGUUUUGCUGCGUUUUUGUUGUAAGAAAACUGCGUCUGUCCAGACGCUUAUGAACCCCUUCAGAGCAAAGGAAAAGGCAAACAAGACAAGAAGCAGGGCAAAUGCCGUAGAAAAGCUAAACACAGUUGUCCCAGCCAAUCAUCAGCAAAGUCUCACAUGCCCACUUUUGGGUCAGAACAUGGAGCAGAGCUGGAUAACUCCGAAGAUCCGGAUCGACCGACGUAGGCAUAGCGCCAAGAGACGGAGGCCAAACAUUGGGAGGAAGUCAGGAGGGGGCUAUUUGAUGAUGCCGUAGCUGCUCGUGCUGUGCCGAGUCCGGGAUUGACUUGCUCGCUUUGCGAGAGUCUUGCGAGUGUAAGCUGCGGGAACUGCCCGGGGGCGGCACUGUGCCACCAUUGUGAUGUUGAAGAGCACACCAUGCGGCCAUUCCACGCCAGACAGCAGUGGGCGUCUGGGUUUAUGCAGCCUUUGGCUACAGAUCCGGUUCUGCCGCUGCAUGCGCGCAAGAAGGCCUGUGAAGCCUGUUCAUGUUCAGCUGAGUGCAAGACGCGCCCCUCAUCGGUCGAGGUGUUGGCCAUUGCCA